rnacentral:rRNA from 1 species
ACCUGCCGGCCGUGGUAUACUGACCAUGCGAAGGUAGCAUAAUCAUUUGCCUCUUAAUUAGAGGCUGGAAUGAAGGGUUAGACGAGAAACUAGCUGUCUUCGAAGUUAAUUAUUUGGUGAAAAAGCUAAACUUUUCUUAGAGGACGAUAAGACCCUAUAGAUCUUUUUCGUUGGGGCGACGUUAUAUGAUCCUUAAGUGAAUUAGGAUAAAGUUACCUUAGGGAUAACAGCGUAAUUUUUCUUGAGAGUUCUUAUCGACAGAAAAGUUUGCGACCUCGAUGUUGGUUCAGGGUUCCUUUUAGGCGCAGCAGUUUAAUAAGGUAGUCUGUUCGACUAUUAAAUCCCU